GCAGCAGGCACGCUGACCUCUGGCUCAGAUAGAGAGAGGGAUUCCAGGAGCCCUGAGAACUGUCCACGCCUCGGAGCCCUCCACAGGGCUCCCUCUCCUGCAGAUGGAUUUGUGACUCUGUCAAGUGUCACGCACACCCCAGCGUUGCUGGGUGGCACCAGCGACAUGUUUUGUGCGCUUCACAGAUUGCAGUGUUUUGCGGCAGAAGAGCGUGAACUUUAGACCUGGCCGGGACCCCAUUUUCACCCCCCGUUGUGCGGGCAGAUCAAAUCAACCCCACCGACACUCCCCGAGGCUCAAUUCCAGCAGGGACGGCUGGACCAGAGAGAGAAGGCAGAGACUGGACUGAAGUCUGCCGGAAAGAUCACCUGGAGGGUUCUGAGCUACACUGUCCUCACCCAGGAACCCAGGCUGAAGGAAGCUUCUAUCAACAUCAUUGUUCACAAUCACCAUGGCAGCCAGAAGGGGAUUUGAGGGUUGACACCUUAGCUCUCAUUGUUGCUACCCGGAAGCGGCACAUAUCAAUCACAUUUCAUUGGCCAAAGCAGGUCACUUGGCCACACUCACUUCAAGGUGGUAGUGUGAAGUGCCAUCCUGCCAGGCUUGUGUUCCUAACUCUAUGUCAUGAAGGCCACACAAGGUGGGUGAGGUCCAUCCCCAGCUGUGCUAACAGCCACUCCCAGCUGGGCCACCCAAAGCCCCCUUGGCAAAGAAUCCACCUCUCCCCCAUCCAAAGGGUGCCCAUCUCCAUCCUCUCCUGGAAACUCUUUCUCCUCCACAGCAUCAACACACAAGAAUCUGGGUCAGUCUUUAUCUUCCAGUGAAACUGCACUCGUUGAGGAAUCAGCCUUGACUUUGGUUAGACAUGAAAAUCACAACCAUAUUUCAUAUCCGACACCGAGACACCGUGGGUCCGGCAGGGAGCACGGCAAGGAAUGCGAUUCCAACCAUUGGGGUUGGAGUGUGAUUUAUGACCAAAUAAUUACAUGCUCUCUGCGGGCUGGGAUCACACACUUGAGUUUGUACCACAAGGAAAGUCUGCCCUAUGCAUUUCCCAGAGCCCAUUACCUGUUUUUUCCAUCAUCUUUUGCAACGGGGCUUGUGCAGGCUCUGAAGGCAAGUCUGCUAUGGCACAUGUGUGUGUAUUUGUGUAAGUGUGUGAAACAGCAAGCCAGAAAGAAGGCUGCUGGCUGAUGAGGAACAUCUAGUGAGCACAGCCCUGUUGGUGCUGAGGAGAAGGAAGGACAGGUCUCCAUCUAGCUUCUG